rnacentral:rRNA from 1 species
CGUCAAGUCCUCAUGGCCUUUAUGACCAGGGCUACACACGUACUACAAUGGCCGAUACAAAGGGCAGCGACACUGCGAGGUGAAGCCAAUCCCGUAAAAUCGGUCUCAGUCCGGAUUGGAGUCUGCAACUCGACUCCAUGAAGUUGGAAUCGCUAGUAAUCGUGGAUCAGCAUGCCACGGUGAAUACGUUCCCGGGUCCUU